rnacentral:tRNA from 1 species
UAAUAUGAAAGAAUAAUUUCUAAUUUAAUUUCGACUUAAAUUUAUGAUUAAAUAAAUUAAUCCAUAUUAA